GUAGGUGGCAAGCGUUGUCCGGAAUUAUUGGGCGUAAAGCGCGCGCAGGCGGUUCUUUAAGUCUGAUGUGAAAGCCCACGGCUCAACCGUGGAGGGUCAUUGGAAGCUGGAGAACUUGAGUACAGAAGAGGAAAGCGGAAUUCCACGUGUAGCGGUGAAAUGCGUAGAGAUGUGGAGGAACACCAGUGGCGAAGGCGGCUUUCUGGUCUGUAACUGACGCUGAGGCGCGAAAGCGUGGGGGGAGCGAACAGGAUUAGAUACCCUGGUAGUCCACGCCGUAAACGAUGAGUGCUAAGUGUUAGGGGGUUUCCGCCCCCCCCUUAGUGCUGCAGCUAACGCAUUAAGCACUCCCGCCUGGGGAGUACGGCCGCAAGGCUG
rnacentral:rRNA from 1 species